rnacentral:rRNA from 1 species
AUGAGAGUUUGAUCCUGGCUCAGGACGAACGCUGGCGGCGUGCCUAAUACAUGCAAGUAGAACGCUGAGGUUUGGUGUUUACACUAGACUGAUGAGUUGCGAACGGGUGAGUAACGCGUAGGUAACCUGCCUCAUAGCGGGGGAUAACUAUUGGAAACGAUAGCUAAUACCGCAUAAGAGUAAUUAACACAUGUUAGUUAUUUAAAAGGAGCAAUUGCUUCACUGUGAGAUGGACCUGCGUUGUAUUAGCUAGUUGGUGAGGUAAAGGCUCACCAAGGCGACGAUACAUAGCCGACCUGAGAGGGUGAUCGGCCACACUGGGACAGAGACACGGCCCAGACUCCUACGGGAGGCAGCAGUAGGGAAUCUUCGGCAAUGGACGGAAGUCUGACCGAGCAACGCCGCGUGAGUGAAGAAGGUUUUCGGAUCGUAAAGCUCUGUUGUUAGAGAAGAACGUUGGUAGGAGUGGAAAAUCUACCAAGUGACGGUAACUAACCAGAAAGGGACGGCUAACUACGUGCCAGCAGCCGCGGUAAUACGUAGGUCCCGAGCGUUGUCCGGAUUUAUUGGGCGUAAAGCGAGCGCAGGCGGUUCUUUAAGUCUGAAGUUAAA